AUCAAUAAGCGGAGGAAAAGAAACUAACAAGGAUUCCCCUAGUAGCGGCGAGCGAAGCGGGAAGAGCUCAAAUUUAUAAUCUGGCACCUUCGGUGUCCGAGUUGUAAUCUCUAGAAAUGUUUUCCGCGUUGGACCGCACACAAGUCUGUUGGAAUACAGCGGCAUAGUGGUGAGACCCCCGUAUAUGGUGCGGACGCCCAGCGCUUUGUGAUACAUUUUCGAAGAGUCGAGUUGUUUGGGAAUGCAGCUCAAAUUGGGUGGUAAAUUCCAUCUAAAGCUAAAUAUUGGCGAGAGACCGAUAGCGAACAAGUACCGUGAGGGAAAGAUGAAAAGCACUUUGGAAAGAGAGUUAACAGUACGUGAAAUUGUUGGAAGGGAAACGCUUGAAGUCAGACUUGCUUGCCGAGCAAUCGGUUUGCAGGCCAGCAUCAGUUUUCCGGGAUGGAUAAUGGUAGAGAGAAGGUAGCAGUUUCGGCUGUGUUAUAGCUCUCUGCUGGAUACAUCUUGGGGGACUGAGGAACGCAGUGUGCCUUUGGCGGGGGUUUCGACCUCUUCACACUUAGGAUGCUGGUGGAAUGGCUUUAAACGACCCGUCUUG
rnacentral:rRNA from 1 species